GGGUCGGCCAUAUUGGAUGCCGCAGCCGCUGCUGCCAGCGCUUCCUCCUCUGUCUUCGCCGAGCGCUGCUGGUUCCUGCGGCCCGAGCGGUGGGGAGGUGAAAAAGGAGCCUGUCGGAGGCAGGGGAAGAAGCGGGUGGAGAGUGUAGGGUACUGGGCUAGAGGGUGAGGGACCGAGACGGAGCGGGGCGGAGAAGAGAAGGCGCCGCGGCCCAGCCCCUCCCCCGCCCGCCGCCGACCCGCCCCGGCAGCGCCUCUGUUCCCCAGAACGGCGCUCCGCCCGCACUAGCGGCCAUGCCGGGGCCGCGCUGCCCCUGAGGGAGCCCUUCCCCUCCAGCGCGUGCCCUUCCACUCCGCCCCGAGGUCGCAGCGGCCCGCUCUCCCGCCGGCGCCCCCUCCUCGCGGCCACGCAGCCGCCCGCGUCUCGCUCUCCCCACCCAGCGCAGUGGCCGCCGCCUCUUCCGCCGCCGGGCUCGGGGGCCUCCGCAGCGACAACAUGGAGGCCGUGAAGACCUUCAAUAGCGAGGAUUGUGCCUCUACUCCUGCUUGUACAGACUGCUUUUCCAGCAGCAUGGACACAAGAAGCAUAUUGUAUUCCCUGAAUGACUAUAAACCACCCAUUUCUAAAGCGAAAAUGACCCAAAUUACUAAGGCAGCCAUCAAAGCUAUUAAGUUCUAUAAACAUGUGGUACAGAGUGUUGAGAAGUUUAUUCAGAAAUGUAAACCAGAAUACAAAGUACCUGGACUUUAUGUAAUUGACUCCAUUGUGCGACAGUCCCGACAUCAGUUUGGUCAAGAAAAGGAUGUGUUUGCACCCAGAUUUAGUAAUAACAUCAUUAGCACUUUCCAGAAUUUAUAUCGUUGCCCUGGGGAUGACAAGAGUAAAAUAGUGAGAGUACUAAACUUAUGGCAGAAGAAUAACGUAUUUAAGAGUGAGAUUAUUCAGCCCCUUUUGGAUAUGGCAGCCGGGAUCCCACCUCCUGUUGUCACGCCUGUUUUGGCCAGCACUACCACUGCUAUGAGCAAUACUCCAGGAACUCCAGUGACACCUGUUACCCCGGCCAAUGUGGUCCAAGGCUUACCUGAUCCGUGGGUAUCUCAGAUAACAAAUACAGAUACACUUGCGGCUGUGGCUCAGAUCUUGCAAAGUCCUCAAGGCCAGCAGCUUCAACAGUUAAUACAAACCUUACAGAUACAACAGCAGAAGCCCCAGCCUUCCAUUCUGCAGGCUCUGGAUGCUGGUCUUGUUGUUCAGUUGCAAGCUCUUACAGCACAACUUACAGCUGCAGCUGCGGCUGCCAACACUCUCACUCCCUUAGAACAGGGAGUCUCCUUUAACAAGAAGUUGAUGGAUAGGUUUGAUUUUGGGGAAGAUUCUGAGCAUAGUGAAGAGCCCAAAAAGGAAAUUCCAACUUCGCAACUUUCUCACGUUUCAGAAUCUGUGAACAAUUCCAUUUUUCAUCAGAUAGCAGAACAACUACAACAGCAAAAUCUGGAACAUCUCAGACAGCAGCUCUUGGAACAGCAACAGCCUCAAAAGACCACUCCUCAGGAUAGUCAGGAAGGAACAUUUGGGUCAGAGCAUUCAGCGUCACCAUCACAAGGGAGUAGUCAGCAGCAUUUUCUUGAACCUGAAGUCAAUUUGGAUGAUUCCAUAGAUAUUCAGCAGCAGGAUAUGGAUAUAGAUGAAGGGCAAGAUGGAGUGGAAGAGGAGGUCUUUGAACAAGAAGCUAAGAAAGUGGCGGUUCGCUCAAGAUCCAGAACACAUUCACGUUCUCGUUCAAGAUCACCAAGAAAACGAAGGUCUAGGUCACGAUCUGGUUCUAGAAAGCGUAAACACAGAAAGCGAUCGCGUUCCCGCUCAAGAGAAAGAAAGAGAAAAUCAUCACGAUCGUAUUCAAGUGAAAGGAGAGCCAGAGAAAGAGAGAAAGAACGACAGAAAAAGGGAUUACCUCCAAUUAGAUCUAAAACAUUGAGUGUAUGUAGUACUACUCUCUGGGUUGGGCAAGUGGACAAGAAGGCAACACAGCAAGAUUUAACCAACCUGUUUGAAGAGUUUGGACAAAUUGAAUCCAUUAAUAUGAUUCCUCCCAGGGGCUGUGCGUACGUCUGCAUGGUUCAUCGACAGGAUGCAUUUCGAGCUCUUCAGAAACUCAGUUCUGGAUCGUAUAAAAUUGGGUCCAAGAUCAUUAAGAUCGCAUGGGCUUUAAACAAAGGUGUAAAAACAGAAUACAAACAAUUCUGGGAUGUGGAUCUUGGAGUUACAUAUAUACCAUGGGAAAAAGUUAAAGUGGAUGACUUGGAAGGUUUUGCAGAAGGAGGCAUGAUUGAUCAGGAGACUGUAAAUACUGAGUGGGAAACUGUGAAAAGCUCAGAACCUGUUAAAGAGGCGGUCCAGACAACUCAGAGCCCAACUCCAGUUGAAAAGGAGACAGUGGUUACAACCCAGGCAGAGGUUUUCCCUCCUCCUGUUGCUAUGUUGCAGAUUCCAGUGGCGCCAGCUGUGCCUGCAGUUAGUUUAGUCCCACCAGCAUUUCCUGUGUCGAUGCCAGUUCCUCCUCCUGGAUUCAGUCCAAUCCCUCCACCUCCUUUUUUACGAGCAAGUUUUAACCCUUCACAACCACCACCUGGUUUUAUGCCACCUCCAGUUCCCCCACCUGUUGUGCCACCCCCUACGAUUCCACCAGUAGUACCAACAUCUUUAGUACAGCCAUCAUUAUCCAUAACCCCGGAAACUGUGAAAGAUGUUGGAUUUGGUAGCCUUGUUAUACCAGGCGGUUCUGUUGCCAGCAAUCUUGCUGCUUCUGCUCUGCCAGCUGGAAAUGUUUUUAGUGCUCCAACUAAACAAGCAGAGCCUGAAGAAAAAGUACCUCAUCUUAUAGACCACCAGAUUUCUUCUGGUGAAAACACCAGAUCAGUGAUUCCAAAUGAUAUUUCAAGUAAUGCUGCAAUUUUAGGAGGACAGCCGCCAAAUGUGACAAGCAAUUCUGGAAUUCUGGGAGUCCAAAGACCAAAUGUAUCAAGUAAUUCUGAAAUUCUUGGGGUCCGGCCAUCUAAUGUUUCCAGUAGUUCUGGGAUUAUUGGACCCCAACCACCAAGUAUUCUAAAUAACUCUGGAAUUUUGGGAAUACAGCCACCCAGUGUGUCAAGUAAUUCUGGACUUUUGGGAGUGCUACCCCCAAAUAUACCUAACAAUUCUGGACUUGUAGGAGUACAGCCACCAAAUGUUCCAAAUACUUCUGGACUUCUGGGAACACAGCCACCAGCCGGACCUCAAAACUUACCCCCUUUAAGUAUCCCUAAUCAAAGGAUGCCCACAAUACCAAUGUUAGACAUUCGUCCAGGACUAAUACCACAGGCACCUGGGCCAAGAUUCCCCUUAAUACAGCCUGGACUUCCACCCCAACGGGGAAUCCCACCCCCAUCGGUACUUGAUGCAGCUCUUCAUCCACCACCCCGUGGACCUUUUCCUCCAGGAGAUAUUUUUAGUCAGCCUGAAAGACCUUUUCUAGCUCCUGGAAGACAAAGUAUAGACAAUGCUACUAACCCAGAAAAAAGGAUACCACUUGGGAAUGAUAACAUUCAACAGGAAGGAGAUAGAGAUUACCGGUUUCCUCCUAUAGAAACCAGGGAAAGCAUUAGUAGACCUCCCCCUGUGGAUGUUAGAGAUGUGGUUGGGCGGCCUAUAGAUCCAAGAGAAGGUCCUGGACGGCCUCCACUAGAUGGUAGGGAUCAUUUUGGAAGACCUCCUGUAGAUAUAAGAGAGAAUCUUGUGAGGCCAGGUAUAGAUCAUCUUGGUCGAAGAGACCACUUUGGCUUUAAUCCAGAGAAGCCCUGGGGGCAUAGAGGAGAUUUUGAUGAGAGAGAGCAUCGGGUUCUACCGGUCUAUGGUGGUCCAAAAGGUUUACAUGAAGAAAGAGGUAGAUUUCGGUCUGGAAACUAUCGAUUUGAUCCUAGAAGUGGUCCUUGGAACAGAGGAUUUGGACAAGAAGUUCACAGAGAUUUUGAUGACCGCAGAAGACCCUGGGAGAGGCAAAGGGAUAGGGAUGACAGAGAUUUUGAUUUCUGCAGAGAAAUGAAUGGAAAUCGUCUUGGACGAGACAGAAUUCAAAACACUUGGGUCCCUCCUCCUCAUGCUCGGGUUUUCGAUUAUUUUGAAGGGGCCACUUCUCAACGAAAAGGUGAUAAUGUGCCUCAGGUUAAUGGUGAAAAUACAGAGAGACAUGCUCAGCCACCACCUUUACCAGUACAGAAUGAUCCUGAACUUUAUGAAAAACUGACAUCUUCAAAUGAAAUAAGCAAGGAGAAGAGUGACACAGUUGCUGAUAUAGAAAGUGAACCAGUGGUAGAAAGCACAGAAACUGAGGGGACAUAAUCAUCACUCAGUAGGUUAAUGGUGAAAUGGCAGGUAAUUCACACUUUUGGACAGAGCACACCGCCCCCGUGGAAUCACCCUACAGAAGAGGCCACCUAUAAAGGAUGUCUGACACCUUUAAGAUCAGUGUUUCUCAAUGUGUGGACCAUGGAUACCUGUAUUAGAAUACCCAAAGGAUUUGUUUAAAAUUCAGGCUGAGCCCCUCCCAAGACCUAAUAGAGCUAAAAGCUUUGGGAGUAGGUGGAGGAAACCUGCAUCUUUACCCAGCAAUCCAGGCAAGAUGAUGAUGAAUGAAGUCCUGGCAGCUUCCUGUGUCUCAGGCCUUGUAGAAAUAAAUGAGACAGACGUGCUUCAAAGUUCUAAUGUCCAUCACAUCGGAUCUUGUUUAAGGAAGCGUUAAAAGGAACCCGCCGUUCCCUAUUGAGAAGGCUCUGUGCUCUCAGGCAUUGUUUCUGAUUGAAUCCAGAGGUUGCAAGCAUGCCUCCCUGUAUUACCUGUUGGAGCAGGUUUAAUUUUAUAAAUUUUAAACACAAACUCUAUGAGUUUCUAGUUCAUAAUCGUUCUUUUUUGGGAUCCACUCAGAUGAACAGUAUUGCAUCUGUAAGAGAUACCCACUUCCACAGGACCAGAUUUGAUUGGAAUAUCAGUGGCAACAAACUCCAUCUGUAGCAUCAUCCCGUACCGGUGAUGGAAAGGACAGAUGGCAAGGAAACACUUUGGGGGGAAAAAAGUCAUAUUGUGUUGGACCUACAGAUUACUAGGACCAUAGCUUUAGGGAACCAAGGCUUUUUUCUUGAACACAAUCUCUGUAGACUGUGUAGUUCUUGAUUGGUGGCUUUAAUCCAUUAUCAUUAGGUAUCCCCUUGAACAUUCUCAAACACUGAAAGUCUUAAGCUUUCAUUAAAAAAGAAAAAGUAAAUGCAGCUUUCAGAAAAUCCAGGGUUCCGUAUAGUCUUCUGAGUGUUUCACUUCAGCCUUGCUGUCCUGUUGUUACAAACAGCAGGUACCUGGGUGGUAGACAAGAAGCCUUGUGGGAUAGUAAGGAAACGAGGAUGAAGAAACAUAUCACGUCAUAUCCUAAACAUACUUUAUAAGUACAUUUCUUCUUAGCUUCUUAUUCAGGCAGAGAUGAUAAAAGUUUGCUGCAAGUAUCCAGAAAUUGUGUUUUGGAAAUUAUCAGUGUUCACCAUACCUGCAGGGAAGAAAAAAAUUACAAAAACUCAAAUAUGAAUACCCUUUACACCCAAAAGAAUAUUUUGAUCAUUCUUUUAUUUGUUUUGGCUCUGUCAAAAAUUAAAGUGCUUGGAAUGCUGUAGUCUGUGGUCUCUUGAAAUUUAAUCAAUGAGAACCUAACAUUUUCACAGUAUGCUGUCACUUUGGACAUUCAUAAUAAAAAUGGAAAUUCA